CCAGGUCAGUUGCGUAUGAGAGAUCCCUAUUUUAUCAAAUGCCAUUGAGUCGGAAAUUCUCAGGACUUACGAAUUCAAGUUUAUCCUCAAAGGCUUCCCACAACAGGCCAGGGCCAUCAUAGCCCUCGCCCUCUGAAGGGACAUCAUCCGCUAGUACCCUUAACUAGUACUCCUGCUCAGCUACUACUUUGGCUCUCAGCUAUUUGCUAGUACACCAGCUCGGCUACUACUUCAGCUCUUGGCUAGUACUCCGGCUCUUGGAUAGGACUCCUGCUCCUGGCAAGGAAUCUAGCUCUUGUAAGGUACUUCUGCUUUUGGCUAGUACUCUAGCUAGGCUGGUAAUUCAGCUCUUGGCUAGCACUCCAACUCGGCUAGUACUUUGACUCUUGUCUAGUACCCCAACUCGGUUAGUACUUCAGCUCUUGACUAGUACUUUUCUCUUGGCUAGUACUUCUGCUAGGCUAGUAGUCCAGCUUGGCUAGUACUUUUGCUUUAG